rnacentral:rRNA from 1 species
UACAGAGGGGGGCGAGCGUUGUUCGGAAUUACUGGGCGUAAAGGGCGCGUAGGCGGCCAACUAAGUCGGACGUGAAAUCCCAAGGCUCAACCUUGGAACUGCGUCCGAUACUGGAUGGCUUGAAUCCGGGAGAGGGAUGUGGAAUUCCAGGUGUAGCGGUGAAAUGCGUAGAUAUCUGGAGGAACACCGGUGGCGAAGGCGGCAUCCUGGACCGGUAUUGACGCUGAGGCGCGAAAGCCAGGGGAGCAAACGGG